rfam:Heligmosomoides polygyrus genome assembly, scaffold: HPBE_scaffold0013698
CCAACGGCCCUCUUUAGGGCCACAAUUGUGACAAUACGAAUCUCA